rnacentral:lncRNA from 1 species
AAACUUAGUUGUUCAUAUGAGAAGUAUAAUAUCAAUGAGAAAUCAGAAAUAAUAUACUGCCAUGUUUUAUCUUUGAUGAUUGAAUAUUUAGCAAGCACUCCUUCUGUUUUUAAAAAAACUGGAAUAGUAUAGUAUAUCUCUGUAAAACUCUCCUAGUACUAAACCAACAUGCAACUUUUAUCCCAUUCUCAACUCUCCUGUUUUUCCUUCCACCAAGUUUUUGCUCUUCUCCCCUUCUCAGGGGAGAAGAAUUGCUAAUCCAGUUGGGUUUCAAGUUACUGAUUGGACCACAUUUCUUAGUGGGUGCUUCCUUCUUUUUUCAGUGCCAUGUAGAUACUCUCUCUUCCAUUUCCUUUUUCUUUACAGCUAAUGAACUGCCUCCUCACAGAUGACUAGCCAUCUUGUUCUCUCUCUGUUACUCCUUUUCACUUAAGUGGGUAAGCUGAUUUAGAACUUCCUGCUUCAGGACAGGCGCGGUGGCUCACGCCUGUAAUCCCAGUACUUUGGCAGGCCGAGGUAGGCGGAUCACGAGGUCAGGACUUUUUUUUUUUUUUUUUUUUGAGACGGAGUCUCGCUCUGCCCCCCCAGGCUGGAGUGCAGUGGCGUGAUCUCGGCUCACUGCAAGCUCCGCCUCCCAUGGACCACAUUUCUUAGUGGGUGCUUCCUUCUUUUUUCAGUGCCAUGUAGAUACUCUCUCUUCCAUUUCCUUUUUCUUUACAGCUAAUGAACUGCCUCCUCACAGAUGACUAGCCAUCUUGUUCUCUCUCUGUUACUCCUUUUCACUUAAGUGGGUAAGCUGAUUUAGAACUUCCUGCUUCAGGACAGGCGCGGUGGCUCACGCCUGUAAUCCCAGUACUUUGGCAGGCCGAGGUAGGCGGAUCACGAGGUCAGGACUUUUUUUUUUUUUUUUUUUUGAGACGGAGUCUCGCUCUGCCCCCCCAGGCUGGAGUGCAGUGGCGUGAUCUCGGCUCACUGCAAGCUCCGCCUCCCAGGUUCACGCCAUUCUCCUGCCUCAGCCUCCCGAGUAGCUGGGACUACGGGCACCCACCACCAUGCCUGGCUAAUUUUUUUUUUUUUUUUUUUUUUUUUUUGUAUUUUUAGUAGAGACGGGGUUUCACUGUGUUAGCCAGGAUGGUCUCGAUCUCCGAGGUCAGGAAUUUGAGACCAGCCUGCCCAACAUGGCGAAACCCCGUCUCUACUAAAAAUACAAAAAAUUAGCCGGGCAUGGUGGCAGGCACCUGUAAUCCCAGCUACUUGGGAGGCUGAGGCAGGAGAAUUGCUUGAACCCAGGAGGCGGAGGUUGCAGUGAGCCACGCCACUGCACUCCAGCGUGGGUGACAAGAGCGAAACUCCGUUUCAAACAAACAAAAAAAAAGAACUUCCUGCUUCAAAACACUCCUUGCCAUCUUGUACUAUCUUCCUCAUUCAUACACAAAGUAAAAAUCCUUGGCUUGAUCUCCAACAUGCCACUGACUAGAAAGUGGAAAUCCCAAGAUCUGCAUGUUUAGGGAAAAACAGAGAGAUCUGACGUGACCUUUAGGUUAGGCUACAUGUCCCUACCUAGGUUUACUGGGGCACUAGACAUAUAUUUAGCUAGGACUCUCAGAUGCAAGUGAACAAAUCUAAUAGGAAGUACCUUAGGGGGUGGGGGAAAUUUUAUUGGCUCAUAUAAUCAAAUAAUGCAAAGGGCGGGAAUGUAGCUAUUCUUGGAGACUUACUAGAACUGAAUUAUUUACCAUUUGGACUUUAUAUCUUGCCUCUGCUUUCCUCAGCAAGACGGCCUCCUCUCAGACCAGCAUCCUCUAGAAGAUUGGAGUCAUGGGCACUGGCAUCUUUCCGCUUCAACUUCAGGUAAAAGAGUCUUUUUUCUUAAUUUCUAUUUGGAAAAUCUCAAAAGGAUCCUGAAUGACCACAGUUACAUAAUCUGCCCAUCCCUGGCAGAGCUGGGUAAAGAAAUAGUUCCCAAAAAGAAGUAGGGAAUGCUGUCAGCAGGAGAAGGGAGGGGUUCUAGAGACACAAAACAAAAAGUACACAUUACUGUAAUUAUCAAAUACUAGCCCAACUAACAACAAAGUCCUUCUGUAUUACUUUGUUC